UACGGGGGGGGGGCAAGCGUUUGUUCGGAAUUACUGGGCGUAAAGGGCUCGUAGGCGGCCAACUAAGUCAGACGUGAAAAUCCCUCGGCUUAACCGGGGGAACUGCGUCUGAUACUGGAUGGCUUGAGUUUGGGAGAGGGAUGCGGAAUUCCAGGUGUAGCGGUGAAAUGCGUAGAUAUCUGGAGGAACACCGGUGGCGAAGGCGGCAUCCUGGACCAACACUGAUGCUGAGUGAGCGAAAGCCAGGGGAGCAAACGGG
rnacentral:rRNA from 1 species